rnacentral:rRNA from 1 species
CAUAUCAAUAAGCGGAGGAAAAGAAACCAACAGGGAUUGCCCCAGUAACGGCGAGUGAAGCGGCAAUAGCUCAAAUUUGAAAUCUGGCUCUUUCAGGGUCCGAGUUGUAAUUUGCAGAGGGCGCUUUGGCGUCGGCAGCAGCCUAAGUUCCUUGGAACAGGUCAUCAUAGAGGGUGAGAAUCCCGUAUGUGGCUGCUUGUCUUCACCGUGUAAAGCCCCUUCGAUGAGUCGAGUUGUUUGGGAAUGCAGCUCUAAAUGGGAGGUAAAUUUCUUCUAAAGCUAAAUAUUGGCCAGAGACCGAUAGCGCACAAGUAGAGUGAUCGAAAGAUGAAAAGCACUUUGGAAAGAGAGUCAAAAAGCACGUGAAAUUGUUGAAAGGGAAGCGCUUGCAGCCAGACGUGCCCGCAGUUGCUCAUCCGGGGUUCUCCCCGGUGCACUCUUCUGUGGGCAGGCCAGCAUCAGUCCGGGCGGUUGGAGAAAGACCUGUGUCAUGUAGCUCUCUUCGGGGAGUGUUAUAGGGCAGGUGGAAUGCAACCAGCCUGGACUGAGGUCCGCGCAUCUGCUAGG